CACCAGCUUGCUGGUGUGGAUGAGUGGCGAACGGGUGAGUAAUACGUGAGUAACCUGCCCUUGACUCUGGGAUAAGCCCGGGAAACUGGGUCUAAUACUGGAUGCUACAUGUCACCGCAUGGUGGUGUGUGGAAAGGGUUUACUGGUCUUGGAUGGGCUCACGGCCUAUCAGCUUGUUGGUGAGGUAAUGGCUCACCAAGGCGACGACGGGUAGCCGGCCUGAGAGGGUGACCGGCCACACUGGGACUGAGACACGGCCCAGACUCCUACGGGAGGCAGCAGUGGGGAAUAUUGCACAAUGGGCGAAAGCCUGAUGCAGCGACGCCGCGUGAGGGAUGACGGCCUUCGGGUUGUAAACCUCUUUCAGCAGGGAAGAAGCCACAAGUGACGGUACCUGCAGAAGAAGCGCCGGCUAACUACGUGCCAGCAGCCGCGGUAAUACGUAGGGCGCAAGCGUUGUCCGGAAUUAUUGGGCGUAAAGAGCUCGUAGGCGGUUUGUCGCGUCUGCUGUGAAAGCCCGGGGCUUAACCCCGGGUGUGCAGUGGGUACGGGCAGACUAGAGUGCAGUAGGGGAGACUGGAAUUCCUGGUGUAGCGGUGGAAUGCGCAGAUAUCAGGAGGAACACCGAUGGCGAAGGCAGGUCUCUGGGCUGUUACUGACGCUGAGGAGCGAAAGCAUGGGGAGCGAACAGGAUUAGAUACCCUGGUAGUCCAUGCCGUAAACGUUGGGCACUAGGUGUGGGGGACAUU
rnacentral:rRNA from 1 species